GCUAGAUUUGCAUCCGAUCACUGCCCUUUACUUAUCCCAAUUUCUAUCGGUAAUCAUAGAAGGCACCCACCUUUUAGAUUUGAGAAAUUUUGGCUGUACUGUGAUAAUAUCAAUAAUAUUAUUGCUUCUGCCUGGUCCACUGACUUUCAAGGGUCUCCAUCCUUCUUGAUAAUGUCCGAAGAAGAAUAUCCAAGUGGAACAAAAGGAGAAUAGGUAAUCUCUUCCGUAGUACUGAACAUUUAUCUCUUGCAUCCUCUACUUGCAGGAGAUUGAGGCUCAGAGAGGAGAUUUGUCUCAGACUCAACAUUCUCUCUUGCUUUCGUCCCUUAGGGCUUACUAUAAAAAUUUAUGC
rnacentral:lncRNA from 1 species